rnacentral:tRNA from 2 species
GCCCCAGUAGCUCAGCGGAUAGAGCGCCCGCCUUCUAAGCGGCUUGUCGCAGGUUCGAUUCCUGCCUGGGGUA